CACCUUUAUAAUGAACAGUAGCUGGUGAAUAAUAUACCAAAUGAUUACAAAAAUGAUGAAGCAUCACUUGAAAAAGAAAAAAAAAAAAAAAAUCUUUUAACUAUUUAACGUUUGUAUAUACAUACAUUUACAUACAUUACAUACAUUUACAUAUAUGUAUAUAUACAUAUGUUGUUGUAUAACUAUAUUACUUCGUUUAAUUUUAAAUAUACAUGUUAUAUGUAAAUAUAAGUGAACUUCAACCUAAUAUCACGAAAAAAAAUAAAUAAAUAAAAAUAACUGACAAAUAACGUAACGAAUAAAAAACCUUAUAAGGAAACUGAUAAAGCAAAAAACAAAACAACAGANNNNNNNNNNAGACGCAAAACAACAGACGCAAAACAACAGACGCAAAACAACAGACGAAGCAACAGACGCAAAACAACAGACGAAGCAACAGCACAUAUUGUGACAAAAUGCAACAAAAUGAAUAACUUUCCUGCACAAACAAACCUACAGAACGAAUAUAAUGGUGAGUUUAAUAGUCAAAGUAAUAAUAUAAAUAAUGGGGUAUUAAAUGUAUCCAAUACUGAGAAAACAAGAUUAAUCAUAAAAAAUAUACCAAAAUAUAUGACUGAAGUAGAUUUAAAAAAACAUUUUUUUAAAAUGAAAGGGAAUUAUGAAUUUAAAAUAACUGACAUAAAAAUAAUGAAAAGAAAAAAAAUAAUAAACAAAAAAGAAGAGUAUGUUUCAAGAAAAAUAUGUUUUAUUGGUUUUAUUAGUAAUCAAGAUUGUGAAAACUUUAAAAAAUCAUUUAAUAAUACAUAUAUUAACACAAGUAAAAUAAGUAUUGAAGAUGCUUAUUGUCCAUUACAAAGUAGAUUAGCAGAGAUUCAAAAAAAUACAACUUAUGCACAUAAAAUGAAAUACAUGCCAAAUAACGAAACAAAUAAAGUGAAUAGAAAAAAAAAUAAUAUACAAAUAAUUAAAAAAGAUAACACUAUAACUAAAUUUAUUCCAAUUAAAAAAACGAAGGCAGGUGUGAGUACUGUUCGAAGUCAUGUUAUAUUCGUUGACGAGGAUACAAAUGAUCAAGUUAAAGAUGGUAAAAAAAAAAAAAAAAAAAAAAAAAAUACCAACGACAACGACAAUGACAAUUCCGAUUUUAAGAAAAAAGACGAUAAUAACAUGAAUAAGGACAACAAAAACAUGAAUAACGGCGUUGAAACAUGUGAAGAACAAGAACAAGAACAAGAACAAAGAAAAGGUAAAAAAAAUAUACAUAAUGAGGAAAAUGAAACUAUAGAGGAUGAUACUAAUGCAUUGGAUUGGUUAAAAUCUGUAUCGAAAAAGAAUGAGAAUAAAAAAAGCAAACAUAAAGAAAAGAAAAAUGUCACAAAUUAUGAUAAAAAGAAUCUAACUGAAGACAAGCAAGACCUAUCUGAAAUGGAUAAACAUAACGAAUCAUCAAGUGAAGAAGAGACAAAAGCAAAGUCAAAAGUAAAGUCAGAAGAAAUGAAAAAAGAAAUGAAAAAAGAAAUGAAAAAAG
rnacentral:lncRNA from 1 species